AGACGGAGGGCGCAAGCGUUGUUCGGAAUUACUGGGCGUAAAGGGCAGGUAGGUGGUCUGUUAAGUCUUCUGUGAAAAUCCGGGGCUCAACCCCGCGAAAUGCAGGUGAAACUGGCAGACUUGAGACCGGUAGAGGCUAGCGGAAUUCCUGGUGUAGCGGUGGAAUGCGUAGAUAUCAGGAAGAACACCUGUGGCGAAGGCGGCUAGCUGGGCCGGUUCUGACACUGAACUGCGAAAGCGUGGGGAGCAAACCGGAUUAGAAACCCCAGUAGUCC
rnacentral:rRNA from 1 species